UGUUCUGUGGCUUAGCUGGUUUAAGUGCAGCGCUGGUCUAGCGAAUACGGAGUUGUGGGUUCUAAUCCCACCAGAACGC
rnacentral:tRNA from 1 species